UUUCUCUUGAGGUUCUGACAUGCUACUGAGUGCAUCCUAAAAAUGAUGGAAGGAGAAUAAACUUUAUCAAGAUGUAAUAUGAGGGUAAAACGUAUGACAAACAUGUCGUGAGUACACAUACCCAUGGUCUUGAACCUUGAGAUUCUCCAGCUGAUUGCAUCAAAUUGUGAAGGCGAAAGUGAGCUUCAUCACGUUGGUCAGUUAGCUCUCUAAUCUCUUUAUCCAUCUGCAGAGGGCUCAGGGUGCAAAUGAUGGCUGUUCUUGCAUUGCCUCCUAACGAGUUCUGAAGUAUUCGUGUUAGCUUGGAGUCUCGAAACAGCCAUGCUAUCAUUAUACAUGGGAGAGAAGACCUUUCAAUGACCAACAGUACUUGGCCCCUACCCCCAGAACAAGAAAGAGCAGGACCAACAACAGUAUUUCCAGUUAUUAAUAUCCAAAUGUGAGAAAAAGUAUGAGAAGGGAAAGAAAAAAAAAUGAAGCUCCACCUCAACU